AUUGAACGCUAGCGGGAUGCCUUACACAUGCAAGUCGAACGGCAGCGCGGACUUCGGUCUGGCGGCGAGUGGCGAACGGGUGAGUAAUAUAUCGGAACGUGCCCAGUAGCGGGGGAUAACUACUCGAAAGAGUAGCUAAUACCGCAUACGCCCUACGGGGGAAAGGGGGGGAUCGCAAGACCUCUCACUAUUGGAGCGGCCGAUAUCGGAUUAGCUAGUUGGUGGGGUAAAGGCCCACCAAGGCGACGAUCCGUAGCUGGUUUGAGAGGACGACCAGCCACACUGGGACUGAGACACGGCCCAGACUCCUACGGGAGGCAGCAGUGGGGAAUUUUGGACAAUGGGGGAAACCCUGAUCCAGCCAUUCCGCGUGUGCGAUGAAGGCCUUCGGGUUGUAAAGCACUUUUGGCAGGAAAGAAAUCGCACAAAUUAAUACUUUGUGUGGAUGACGGUACCUGCAGAAUAAGCACCGGCUAA
rnacentral:rRNA from 1 species